UACGGAGGGAGCUAGCGUUGUUCGGAUAUACUGGGCGUAAAGCGCACGUAGGCGGCGCAGCAAGUCAGGGGUGAAAUCCCGGAGCUCAACUCCGGAACUGCCUUUGAAACUGCAGUGCUAGAAUCCUGGAGAGGCGAGUGGAAUUCCGAGUGUAGAGGUGAAAUUCGUAGAUAUUGGGAAGAACACCGGUGGCGAAGGCGGCUCACUGGCUCGUAUCUGACACUCAAGCGCGACAGCGUGGGGAUCAAACAGG
rnacentral:rRNA from 1 species